AUUGAACGCUGGCGGCAGGCUUAACACAUGCAAGUCGAGCGAGUGGCGGACGGGUGAGUAAUGUCUGGGAAACUGCCUGAUGGAGGGGGAUAACUACUGGAAACGGUAGCUAAUACCGCAUACCAUCUGAUGUGCCCAGAUGGGAUUAGCUAGUAGGUGGGGUAAUGGCUCACCUAGGCGACGAUCCCUAGCUGGUCUGAGAGGAUGGCCGACAACACUGGAACUGGGACACGGUCCAGACUCCUAAGGGAGGCAGCAGUGGGGAAUAUUGCACAAUGGGCGCAAGCCUGAUGCAGACAUGCCGCGUGUAUGAAGAAGGCCUUGGGGUUGUAAAGUACUUUCAGCGGGGAGGCGUUACCCGCAGAAGAAGCACCGGCUAACUCCGUGCCAGCAGCCGCGGUAAUAC
rnacentral:rRNA from 1 species